rnacentral:rRNA from 1 species
CCUACGGGAGGCUGCAGUGGGGAAUAUUGGACAAUGGGCGAAAGCCUGAUCCAGCCAUGCCGCGUGUGUGAAGAAGGCCUUCGGGUUGUAAAGCACUUUCAGUGGGGAAGAAAGCCUUGGGGCUAAUACCCUCGAGGAAGGACAUCACCCACAGAAGAAGCACCGGCUAACUCCGUGCCAGCAGCCGCGGUAAUACGGAGGGUGCGAGCGUUAAUCGGAAUUACUGGGCGUAAAGCGCGCGUAGGCGGUCUGAUAAGCCGGUUGUGAAAGCCCCGGGCUCAACCUGGGAACGGCAUCCGGAACUGUCAGGCUAGAGUACAGGAGAGGAAGGUAGAAUUCCCUGUGUAGCGGUGAAAUGCGUAGAGAUCGGGAGGAAUACCAGUGGCGAAGGCGGCCUUCUGGACUGACACUGACGCUGAGGUGCGAAAGCGUGGGUAGCAAACAGGAUUAGAUACCCUAGUAGUC